rnacentral:lncRNA from 1 species
UUCAAACUCGGUGAUAGUCAGGUAUCGGGGGGUAGACGUACCCGUUCGUGGCCGGGAAUCGGGGAACGGCACCUUUGAGCAGGGAGUCCUUACAGGUGC